GGGAAAGGCAUGUAUCUACUGGAAUUUGCAGUGGGACGACCCACUGUGCUGGUGCAGCCAGACAGCCACCAAACGCGCCAUCUCCGUGCUAAUGAAACCCUUCACUGACCGCUCAGGGCACGCUAUGGAAUAUGAUAGUGUGCAAGAUUGUAAAAGCCAGGCAGGAGGGGUAGAGUAUUGGAGGAGGUCUUCAAGAGGACAUGACUGCCAGUUGACCCCAGAGCCGGACCUGGACAAUCGGAGGCUCCUCACCCUUCUCAUGCCCUUGGAAUGUACGCUUUGCCCACCAUUCCCACAUUGGGAGCUGUUUUCAAGGAUGUAGCCUUGAAAAUAAUGUGUUGUUGAGACCACCUGGACUGAAUACGUGACUGAACCCAGCUAAGGCCUCUAUGCAAACUUUUUAAGAUUCUGGCAGACGGGUGAGGAGAUCUACUCAUCCGGCAGCUGCCUAAGACCAGCCUCGUAUGUAAGUUCCCUUGCUUAUCAAAUCUGCCACCUACUAAGCUGGAGUGGUCUGCUUCUUUCUUUGGUCUCUUCUUGCCCUCAUGGAUGGGAGCCAGUUUGAGAUUUCACCUCGGAAGCUCCUUAGUUUGCAAGCCAAUACUCAGAUGCUGUGUUGUAAGGGAUUCCAUGUCUGUGGAUCAUGUAUUCCCUAAGCCUGCAGAUGAUGCUGCCUGAGGCUCUACGGGCAGGAGAGGCAAACCCACACCUGAAAUAGGUAUCUAUACCUGUGAGGAUGAUUCACAGGUACUUCUUUUUGAGCUAGGUUAGACAUUCAGAGGCAGCAGUAGCUAGAUCCAUCUUGGUAAGUGGGAGAACAUAAUGUUGGGCCCAUAUGUAGCCUCCAUUUCUGCCAUUGUGACUACUUCAUUUAUGAGCCUUUUGUGCAGGUUCUGGGUUGGCUAAUGGCAGAGUCAUUUUGUCUACUUUGUCGUUCAGUCCCUCCACCGUGGUGGAUGUUUUCUGGGUAUAAAUGUGUGAUACAAAAAUUUUUACUCUUCAUGAAGUGUCUGUAUGUUCAUCUACGUGCCUCUACUCCAGAUAUUAUCUCUGACCUUCCAGUCUUUUUCUUUCCAAAACCCUCACUAAAGGCCAGACCUUUGGCCACUGUCCAGGAAUCUCACUUCUUGGGCUACUUCUUCUGUACAAAGUAGAUGAACAGAUAUAUUGUUUGCAGUGCUGCC
rnacentral:lncRNA from 1 species